CUUAAGACCUCCUCAUCUUACCUGUAAAAUUACUUUCUCUCAGCAGGCAGGUAUCCAGAUUCUAAGGAACUCCUUCACGUACUUGAAGGCAGGUCUGAAGCCUGUUCAGAGAGGAACAAGAGUAGAGGUCCACCGUGCAAGCUGUGAUUAAGCUGUGAUAUGCCUUGGUGAUUGACAUUGGCUGUGGUAAAAUGUGACACCAAUGGCUGCAUGAACUUUAGGUCUGACAUGAGUCACUCUGCGUCGGAAGUUCCUACAGAGCUGGCUAGAAACCAUGCAUCAGAUAAAUAAUCUUGAGAAUCACAGAAUCAGCUAUUUUGCAAGAGGUUUUUGGGGUGGUCACGCCCGACCUGUGACCCAGCACCACCUUGUCAACUAGACCACAGUUAAACACCCCCAGGGACAGAGAUGCCACCACCUCCCUGGGCAGACCAUUUCAAUGCCCAAUUGUCCUUCCUCUGAAGAACUUCCUAAUGUCCAAAUGCUUAUAAUCAUAUUCUCACGUGUUUGUUGGUAGAAAUAUUGUAGAAUAUUGUGUGUAUGCUACUCAUUAGCAUCACUGGUGAAUGAGAAUUAACAGCUAAAGCAGUUGACUAGGAUUGUUGAAGAGAUGAUGUGAUCAGUCCAGCAUCCACUGAAUCCUGUCAAGAGCUUUCCUAUUGUCUUGCAAUUCUUCUGAAGGAGCAGUUUUAAGUCCUGGUAAUCAUCUAAUUAGAUAAUUGUUUUUAAAAAGGAAUAUGAGUUGUGAGAAAUUUGAAGCGUACUAGUAGUUUCUAUAAGAUGCCUUGAAUGCAUUUCAGGAUAGAAAAUAGGUGAUAACAAUGUACUACAGGAAAUCAGGUUAAAACAUACUUUUGGAACCAAUCUUUUAGCUUUUCUACAGAAAUGUGUUAGCCAGCAGAAUUACAAAUGCAAAUGCAGCAACAGUAAAUCUUGGAAGGAACCAAACUUAUCAUGAACCCAUACCUCUGUAUGUUGUGUGUGA